rnacentral:rRNA from 1 species
UGGGGAAUUUUGGACAAUGGGCGAAAGCCUGAUCCAGCAAUGCCGGGUGUGUGAAGAAGGCCUUCGGGUUGUAAAGCACUUUUGUCCGGAAAGAAAUCCUUGGCUCUAAUACAGUCGGGGGAUGACGGUACCGGAAGAAUAAGCACCGGCUAACUACGUGCCAGCAGCCGCGGUAAUACGUAGGGUGCAAGCGUUAAUCGGAAUUACUGGGCGUAAAGCGUGCGCAGGCGGUUUGCUAAGACCGAUGUGAAAUCCCCGGGCUCAACCUGGGAACUGCAUUGGUGACUGGCAGGCUAGAGUAUGGCAGAGGGGGGUAGAAUUCCACGUGUAGCAGUGAAAUGCGUAGAGAUGUGGAGGAAUACCGAUGGCGAAGGCAGCCCCCUGGGCCAAUACUGACGCUCAUGCACGAAAGCGUGGGGAGCAAACAGGAUUGGAUACCCUGGUAGUCCACGCCCUAAACGAUGUCAACUAGUUGUUGGGGAUUCAUUUUCCUUAGUAACGUAGCUAACGCGUGAAGUUGACCGCCU